rnacentral:misc_RNA from 1 species
GUGUGUGUGUGUGUGCGUGUGUAUGUGUGUGGUGCGUGUGUGUAUAUAACGCCGCCUCGCGUCUCGCCGGUGCGGCGAUCGCCGUCCGGACGUCCUCGGGACACCUUGGCGGUACUCCCGGAACUCCAGAAAGUAUGGGGUGUUCAUCGAGCGUUGUAAUUGCACAUCGCUCGAGUCAAUACUGCAUUUAGCCUUGCGUUUUGGAUUGUCUUUGAUGCGACAGAAGCAAUACAUUGUUGAGGCACAGUAAUCCAAACUCCUAUUGGGAGAGAUGGAUGCAGUGUGCGACGAGGACAGGCGGAGACGCCUGCGGGCUUUGGAGGAGCGUAUAAAGGAUCCGAGAAGUGUCACAAAUAUCGAUUGUUUGUUGGACACGGUUCAAGCUCUGGUAACAGAUUGCGAUCAUGCGAGUGUGAAACGUAUGAAAAAUAUAGAAGCUUAUUUGAAUAGAUAUGACUCUGUAGCUCAAGAGAUUUAUAAAAUGCGAAUGCGUACGGACGAUUUUACUUUGAUAAAAGUAAUCGGCCGCGGCGCAUUUGGAGAGGUGCAGUUGGUUAGACACAAAUCCACGCAAAAGGUUUAUGCUAUGAAAUUGCUUAGUAAAUUUGAAAUGAUUAAGAGGUCGGAUUCCGCAUUUUUUUGGGAAGAGAGGGACAUAAUGGCUCAUGCAAAUUCUCCGUGGAUAGUCCAACUCCACUUUGCAUUUCAAGAUCAGAAAUAUCUCUACAUGGUGAUGGAUUACAUGCCGGGCGGAGAUCUGGUCAAUUUGAUGUCGAAUUACGAAGUACCGGAGAAAUGGGCAAAAUUUUACUGUGCCGAGGUGGUGCUCGCAUUAGACGCGAUACAUAACAUGGGUUUCGUUCACAGAGAUGUAAAACCAGACAACAUGUUGCUUGAUAGACAUGGUCAUUUGAAACUUGCCGACUUUGGCACGUGCAUGAGGAUGGAUGCUGAUGGAUUAGUACGGUCCGACACUGCAGUUGGUACACCCGAUUAUAUAUCUCCGGAGGUUUUGCAAUCGCAAGGUGGAGAAGGAGUAUACGGUCGCGAAUGUGACUGGUGGUCCGUGGGUGUUUUUCUAUAUGAAAUGUUGUUCGGCGAUACACCGUUUUUCGCUGAUUCUUUAGUCGGGACAUAUUCGAAGAUCAUGGACCAUAGAAAUUCUCUGUACUUCCCUCAGAAUGUGGAGAUCUCUCAUUCGGCAAAGAACUUGAUCUGCGGUUUCCUCACCGAUAGAACGAAGCGUCUGGGCCGUAAUGGCGUUGAUGAGAUUAAAAGUCAUUCGUUUUUCAAGAAUGAUCAGUGGACCUUCGACAAUAUGAGGGAAUGCGUACCGCCGGUAGUGCCCGAGCUUUCUGGAGACGAUGAUACCAGCAAUUUCGACGAUGUUGACAAGGAAGAUGGGCCAGAGGAGAGUUUUCCUGUACCCAAAGCUUUUUCCGGAAAUCAUCUGCCUUUCAUUGGAUUUACUUACUCGGGCGAUUAUCAAUUAAUGGUUUCUUAUGGUAAGGAAUCCGUAGACGGUCUUGAGAAUCAUGUCAACAAUGGCACUACUGACGACGUAAAGAUCUCGCAGUUGGAGAAUUUGUUGGAACGUGAGAGGCGGCAGGUAGAGACGAUGGAGUCAAGGCAAAAGGCAUUGAACAUACAACUGGAAGCGAUGGCAUGUCGAGAGGCCGAAUUGCGCGAGGAAGUUGGCAGAGCAGAUAAAGACUUGACACUGCUUAGGCAUAAUUACAAAGAAGCACAACGCAGAGUGGAUCACGAAACAGAGGCUCGUCGUAAGGCGGAGUCGUUAUUGGUAGAAGUGAAGAAAAAGUUCGACGAAGAACAAACGAGACGGGCGCGAGAUGCCAGUAAUUCACAGCAGACGUCCGAACGAGUGACGACAUUGGAGAAACAAAUUAAAGAAAUGCAAUGUAAACUUGAGCGAGAAACGGAAAUGGUUACGAGAUUGCGUAAGCAAACGACGGAGAUCACCGUGGCGCGCCAAGCCGCUGAGCAAAUGGCGAACGAGUUGCAAGUUGCCAGAGCUCAGUUGCAAGCGCAGCGUGAUAAUUUGCAGCAAGAAGUUGCUACUCUUCAGGGUCAGCUUUCUAAGGAACGUAGUUCGAGAUCGCAAGCGUCAUUGUUAACGGCAGAGUUGGAAACACGUCUUUCCACCUUGCAUCUUGAAUUAGAACGCAGUCAAGAGAAAGAGGAGAAGGCAACUCUGGACAAUAGGCAGCUAACCGAAAGAGUUUCCGCCCUGGAGAAAGAAGCUGCUAGUUUAACACUGGAACUGAAAGCCGCACAGGCCAGGUACAAUCAGGAAGUUGUGGCUCAUCAAGAGACGGAGCGUUCGCGCAUUCUUUCCAAAGAGGAAGCUAAUUUGGAAGUUGUCAAAGAGCAAAAAAAUGGAAUUUUUGAAGCAAAACUAAACGAGGAGAAAAGUGGGAGACAACGUGCAGAAUUGCUCGCGCAAGAAAAGGAACGUCAAACGUCAAUGCUCUCUGUCGACUAUAGACAGAUACAACAACGAUUGCAGAAAUUAGAGGGUGAGCACAGGCAAGAGAUGGAGAAAGUCAAGGUUUUGCAAGGCCAAGUUGAGCAGGAGCAACAGAAAAGGAAUGUUCUGCAGACCGAGUUAGGUCAACAAACAUCCGAAGCCGGUAGACUUCGCGCUCGUGAGCAACAAUUAGUCGGAGAGGUUGCUCAGUUGAGAGAAGCUAAGCGACAAAUAGACGAGGAGUUACAUCAUUUGAAGACGCAAAGAAAUGUCGAUCAGUUACAAUCGAAAGAAUUACAAGAACAAUUAGAAGCUGAAGCUUAUUUCUCGACUCUUUACAAAACACAGACACAAGAGUUGCGUGAAGAAUUGGAUGAGAAAAUAAGAUUGCAGCAGGAAUUGGAAGAAGAACGUAGCUCUUUAGUUCAUCAGCUACAAUUAUCCUUAGCACGAGGUGACAGUGAAGCGCUGGCCAGAUCCAUAGCCGAAGAAACUGUAGCGGAUUUAGAGAAAGAAAGAACCAUGAAAGAACUGGAGUACAAAGAUGGAGUAACCAAGCAUCAUCAGGAGUUAAGCGCAAAAGAGCAGAUCAUAAAUAGACUUAAAGAGAAUGAGAAUGAAUUCAAGAAAUCUGUCGAUCAAGCUCUGAAGGAGAAAGAAGAUUUGAGCAAACGAUAUAAAGAAUUGCAAGACCAACUCGGUAAGGCGCAGUCUAAUGUGGAGGAAAUUGAGAAGCUGAGCAGCAAGUUGAAGACCGAGCAACUAUUAAAGCAGCAAGCGGUCAAUAAAUUGGCUGAAAUUAUGAAUCGAAAGGAUCUCUCGUCGAGUGGAAAGAAUAAGAAUAAAGCAUCUGCUGCAGAUUUGAGGAAGAAGGAGAAAGAUUGCAGGCGUCUGCAGCAAGAACUCACUCAAGAAAGAGAAAAGUACGGACAGCUGGCAGCUAAAUGGCAGAAAGAUUUACAAGAUCUGCAAGCGCAACUUGUGGAAGAAAAUCAAGCGAAGUUAAGGCUGCAGAUGGAACUAGACUCGAAGGAUUCGGAGAUAGAAACACUGCAGAUGAAAAUCGCAUCGCUAAACUCGGAAACUGCAAGCGUAUCGUCUAUAGAGAAUGACGACGGUGAGGAUUCGGUUCUGUCCGAGCAUGGUACAAUGAGAUUGGAAGGUUGGUUAAAUGUGCCAAAUAAGCAGAAUAUUAAACGGCACGGUUGGAAGAAGCAAUACGUCGUUGUUUCUUCCAAGAAAAUAAUCUUCUAUAACAGCGAAAAUGACAAGAUGAACGCCGAUCCAGUCCUGAUAUUAGACUUGAACAAAGUCUUUCAUGUUAGAUCUGUUACUCAGGGUGAUGUUAUCCGAGCUAAUGCCAAAGAUAUACCCAGAAUAUUUCAGUUAUUGUAUGCUGGUGAAGGUGAAGCGAGGCGACCUGGUGACGAGGGGAAUACACUGCCUGGAGUGGAUUUACCACAGCUCACGGACAAACCCGGCACUCAAUCGUUGAAAGGCCAUGAGUUCGUGUCAAUAUCUUAUCACAUGCCCACGACCUGUGAAGUCUGCUCGAAGCAACUCUGGCACAUGUUCCGGCCUUCGCCGGCCCUCGAAUGCCGAAGAUGUCGCAUUAAGGUUCAUAAAGAACAUUUGGAUAAGAAAGAAGAUGCCAUAGCCCCGUGCAAAUUGCACUACGACCCAAACAGCGCCCGUGAGUUACUGUUGCUCGCAGCGAAUCCAGAGGAUCAGAAGUAUUGGGUCUCGCGACUGUCCAGGCGCGUCCAGAAAUGCGGCUACAAGGCGAACUCGCACAUGGACGGCACAGGACAGCGCGUCUCGCCAAGGUAGCGUAGCCGUGCUGCUGCUCGACGUGAGCGGGGACUAAGUAGCUCUCUUAUUUUGUGGCGUCGCAUGAUGUGGGUAUAGAGAGGGAAUCCACGAGGUCAACUUUGAAGCCAUAUCUAUCGGUGCAACAGCGAUCAGCAACAUUGCCAGCGAACGCCAGCAUGGGCAAGUGAUCCUGAAAGAUGCUAAUGCUGGCGGUUCUAGGAAGACUCCGCUCACGAUCUAAUACCCCGUUUCCUCUGACAACCGUUAUGUCAGUGAGAUUAUUGGGCCAUCGUAACGAACUACUGUGACCUCGCGAUUUUCUCUACAUGCCUGACAACCGAAGUAGACUGUCAAUAAUUUCCUAGAUCAAGAGUAAUCGAAAUAGCGACGUGAUGUUAUUGAUUGCAGCUAAUAGUAAGUGAAAUCCAAGCUGAGAAUCACUGGAGAAAACAGGGUUACUUAUAUAUGUGUAUUGGGUGAUAAACGAAUAUGACUAUGGUACGGGAAGGAGGAUGGAAAAAGAUAGGACAUAUGUCCAUGGUCUAUUUGCGCGCCAUUGUCGUUCCCGGGACAAUAACACGGAUCAGAGAUGCGCUGUGUUUUUUGGAAUCGCCAGAUCAUUUUAUGUGAGCGACGAUACGGUGUAUAAUAAUCCUUUUGUAUGAUAUAUUCGCGAUAGACUAUCGAAUGUUCUUUCGAGAAAUGAUCGGAUUUUUACGGUGAUUUUUCUGAUUGGAACUAUACUCGACUUUAUACGCACAUUUCUUACUGCCUUCGAUUAACAAUGAGUCUUGAUGAAAACUUUUAGCUUAAGGCAUUUUUUGGAUGCUUUAAACCGAAAUUUCGGAUGUUUAUGGUAAAGAGCGUAGUAUUUUGAAAUCGUUUUAUGUAUACAUAUAGAAUGUUCUCUGAGAACGUGUGUAUCAAUAAGUACACGUUAAGAAUCUUUUAACGUAACUUGUGUCUUAGAGCGGAUUUAUUUAAUGUUUUUGAUAUUCGGAGCGUGUUUUUGAACGUUAGUUACGUUUUUUGAAGAAGUGUAAAUAACUGGUCACACGUUCGAGAAUCAAUGUUUUUUUUUAUCGAAGUCUGGCACGUGAGUCGGUUCCGCGGACAUUGCGAGGAAGAAAUAAUAUUGCAAGAUUGACAAGCGUAAGAGUACAACAGUGAGUGCCAGCUUGUACAGCAGAGAUAAUGAUUACGGCUGUAAGUUAAGAAUUUUUAUUACGCUGAUGCACGAGCUAAUAUGACGUCCGCUGUAUCCCGACAGAAAGAGGCAGACAGAGAGAAGAAUAAAAGGCUAAGAAAUGAGAGGACUAAAUUAAGAAAAUCAUGCAUAAUCGAGAGGCUUAGAAGCUUCGUCAUGGUGCCAUAUGGUUUGGCCAUCCUUGGCAUCGAAGGAAGCGAUAAAAAGAAAGCAGAGAAAAAUGAGUUUAGAAACCGUUUUAGGUUUAUUAUUAACGCGUCAUCGCCGUCUGUGUUCUUUUUAAAAUACCUCCGCGAGACAUCGUGUCGCGCCGAGACUCGUCGGAACGAAGAGAGCCGCUUACAUCGAUCGAUGUUAGUCAGCUAACUCUGAUUAAUUAAGUUCUUUUUCGCAAUUUGAAUUUACGGACAUUAAUUGCAAUUAAACGAAUGAUGAUUCUCUAUUUCUCUCUCUAGAAAUGGAAUCUGAAGACAAAAGUUUUGUCUAUAUUAUGUCUCCUGGAAGAUCUACGAAGUUUUGCUUUCUUCCAGAAACAGAAUCUCAAUUAACUUUAAUUUAUGGAUGAUAGCGAGAUAGAAAGGAAUCAGUGACUAGAAUUUAGUUAAGCAAUAGACGAAUUCAUAAAAGCAAUAGAAGUAAGUUAAGCAAGAUUGAAUUCAGCAUUCGUUACAGCAAACUGUGAUUCGUUCUCUUUCUCUAUUUGGAUCUUAGCUAGCAUUCAAUAGAGAAUAGAGCUAACCGAAAUUAGUUAACUAACAGUUGUCGGUGUAAAUGGCUCCAAGAACUCAGCGAGACGUCCCUCAAAUGGUGCUCCUCCCUGUCCUAUCCAUCCUUUUGGUUUGGCGAAGCAAGAACGAGCGAGAAACUUAUCGGAAGUUUUUCAUCGUUGCGAUGAUAAUUGAAGUUGAAAGUACGAAAGAGAGAAAAAGAAAGGUGCAUAUUGAUGAAAGGAAAUACCAUCCGAUAUACUGCCCCGUGCCUUCUUCAUCGUUUCGAUCCUCCAUGAGGGCGGAACUAGAAGAAAAUUGACAAUGAAGUGAAAAA